rnacentral:rRNA from 1 species
UACGGAGGAUGCAAGCGUUAUCCGGAAUGAUUGGGCGUAAAGCGUCCGCAGGUGGCUAUGUAAGUCUGCUGUUAAAGAGUGAGGCUCAACCUCAUAAGAGCAGUGGAAACUACAUGGCUAGAGUGCGGUCGGGGUAGAAGGAAUUCCUGGUGUAGCGGUGAAAUGCGUAGAGAUCAGGAAGAACACCGGUGGCGAAAGCGUUCUGCUAGACCUGUACUGACGCUGAGACGCGAAAGCGUGGGGAGCAAACAGG